GAUGAAUGCUGGCGGCGUGCCUAACACAUGCAAGUCGAGCGGUAAGGCCCUUCGGGGUACACGAGCGGCGGACGGCUGAGUAACGCGUGGGAAUUUGCCCCAAAGUGAGGAAUAACUGCCCGAAAGGGUAGCUAAUGCCGCAUAUGGUCUUCGGAUUAAAGGAUUUAUCCGCUUUGGGAGGAGCCCGCGUUGGAUUAGGUUGUUGGUGAGGUAAUGGCUCACCAAGCCGACGAUCCAUAACUGGUCUGAGAGGAUGAUCAGUCAGACUGGAACUGAGACACGGUCCAGACUCCUACGGGAGGCAGCAGUGAGGAAUCUUCCACAAUGGGCGAAAGCCUGAUGGAGCAACGCCGCGUGAAGGAUGAAGGUCUUCGGAUUGUAAACUUCUUUUAUGAGUGAAGAAUAUGACGGUAACUCAUGAAUAAGCACCGGCUAACUACGUG
rnacentral:rRNA from 1 species